AGAGUUUGAUCCUGGCUCAGAGUGAACGCUGGCGGCGUGCCUAAUACAUGCAAGUCGAACGAUGAAGCUCUAGCUUGCUAGAGUGGAUUAGUGGCGCACGGGUGAGUAAUGCAUAGAUAACAUGCCCUUUAGUCUAGGAUAGCCAUUGGAAACGAUGAUUAAUACUGGAUACUCCUUACGAGGGAAAGUUUUUCGCUAAAGGAUUGGUCUAUGUCCUAUCAGCUUGUUGGUGAGGUAAUGGCUCACCAAGGCUAUGACGGGUAUCCGGCCUGAGAGGGUGAACGGACACACUGGAACUGAGACACGGUCCAGACUCCUACGGGAGGCAGCAGUAGGGAAUAUUGCUCAAUGGGGGAAACCCUGAAGCAGCAACGCCGCGUGGAGGAUGAAGGUUUUCGGAUUGUAAACUCCUUUUGUUAGAGAAGAUAAUGACGGUAUCUAACGAAUAAGCACCGGCUAACUCCGUGCCAGCAGCCGCGGUAAUACGGAGGGUGCAAGCGUUACUCGGAAUCACUGGGCGUAAAGAGCGCGUAGGCGGGAUAGCAAGUCAGAUGUGAAAUCCUAUGGCUUAACCAUAGAACUGCAUUUGAAACUGUUAUUCUAGAGUAUGGGAGAGGUAGGUGGAAUUCUUGGUGUAGGGGUAAAAUCCGUAGAGAUCAAGAGGAAUACUCAUUGCGAAGGCGACCUGCUAGAACAUAACUGACGCUGAUGCGCGAAAGCGUGGGGAGCAAACAGGAUUAGAUACCCUGGUAGUCCACGCCCUAAACGAUGAAUGCUAGUUGUUGUGGAGCUUGUCUCUGCAGUAAUGCAGCUAACGCAUUAAGCAUUCCGCCUGAGGAGUACGGUCGCAAGAUUAAAACUCAAAGGAAUAGACGGGGACCCGCACAAGCGGUGGAGCAUGUGGUUUAAUUCGAAGAUACACGAAGAACCUUACCUAGGCUUGACAUUGAUAGAAUCCGCUAGAGAUAGUGGAGUGCUAGCUUGCUAGAACUUGAAAACAGGUGCUGCACGGCUGUCGUCAGCUCGUGUCGUGAGAUGUUGGGUUAAGUCCCGCAACGAGCGCAACCCUCGUCCUUAGUUGCUAACUAUUCGGUAGAGCACUCUAAGGAGACUGCCUUCGCAAGGAGGAGGAAGGUGAGGAUGACGUCAAGUCAUCAUGGCCCUUACGCCUAGGGCUACACACGUGCUACAAUGGGAAGCACAAAGAGAUGCAAUAUUGUGAAAUGGAGCAAAUCUAUAAAACUUCUCUCAGUUCGGAUUGUAGUCUGCAACUCGACUACAUGAAGCUGGAAUCGCUAGUAAUCGUAAAUCAGCUAUGUUACGGUGAAUACGUUCCCGGGUCUUGUACUCACCGCCCGUCACACCAUGGGAGUUGUAUUCGCCUUAAGUCGGAAUGCCAAACUGGCUACCGCCCACGGCGGAUGCAGCGACUGGGGUGAAGUCGUAACAAGGUAACC
rnacentral:rRNA from 1 species